rnacentral:rRNA from 1 species
ACAGGGGGAUAACACUUAGAAAUAGGUGCUAAUACCGCAUAAGCGCACGGCUCCGCAUGGAACAGUGUGAAAAACUCCGGUGGUAUACGAUGGAUCCGCGUCUGAUUAGCCAGUUGGCGGGGUAACGGCCCACCAAAGCGACGAUCAGUAGCCGGCCUGAGAGGGUGAACGGCCACAUUGGGACUGAGACACGGCCCAAACUCCUACGGGAGGCAGCAGUGGGGAAUAUUGCACAAUGGGGGAAACCCUGAUGCAGCGACGCCGCGUGAGUGAAGAAGUAUCUCGGUACGUAAAGCUCUAUCAGCAGGGAAGAAAAUGACGGUACCUGAUUAAGAAGCCCCGGCUAACUACGUGCCAGCAGCCGCGGUAAUACGUAGGGGGCAAGCGUUAUCCGGAUUUACUGGGUGUAAAGGGAGCGUAGACGGCAGCGCAAGUCUGGAGUGAAAUGCCGGGGCCCAACCCCGGAACUGCUUUGGGAACUGUGCAGCUCGAGUGCAGGAGAGGUAAGCGGAAUUCCUAGUGUAGCGGUGAAAUGCGUAGAUAUUAGGAGGAACACCAGUGGCGAAGGCGGCUUACUGGACUGUAACUGACGUUGAGGCUCGAAAGCGUGGGGAGCAAACAGGAUUAGAUACCCUGGUAGUCCACGCCGUAAACGAUGAUUACUAGGUGUCGGGGGGCCAAGGCCCUCCGGUGCCGGCGCAA